AACCUACCUCUUACUGGGGUAUAGCCCAGAGAAAUUUGGAUUAAUCCCCCAUAGUACCAUUUAAUCGCAUGGUUGAAUGGUUAAAGGUUACGGUAAGAGAUGGGCAUGCGUCCCAUUAGUUAGUUGGUGAGGUAAUGGCUCACCAAGACUCCGAUGGGUAGGGGUUCUGAGAGGAUGAUCCCCCACACUGGUACUGAGACACGGACCAGACUCCUACGGGAGGCAGCAGUGAGGAAUAUUGCGCAAUGGACGAAAGUCUGACGCAGCCAUGCCGCGUGCAGGAUGACGGCGCUACGCGUUGUAAACUGCUUUUAUUUACAAAGAAACCUCGGGACGUGUCCCGAGCUGACGGUAGUAUUUGAAUAAGCACCGGCUAACUCCGUGCCAGCAGCCGCGGUAAUACGGAGGGUGCAAGCGU
rnacentral:rRNA from 1 species